ACGAACAUAUCACAUUGAAACACCGAUUCCUGUAGGAUCACCGAAGUUAAGCAACGUCGAGACUAGUCAGUACCUAGAUGGGUGACCGCUUAGGAAUACCAGGUGCUGUAA